CAAUUACUCUCUCCAGCCCCGAUUCUUCUCAUUGAAGCAUAGGACUGUAAGGUAAUUUUUGUAGAAAAUUUACUGUCAAACAUGAAAAGGGCAUGAAUUAGCCACUGAUUUUAAUUUUCAACGGUUGACCUGGAUUUGAUGGUUUGUGAAGCACGUUUAUUUAAUUAACUUCUUGUUUCUUGUGAUGGUUGUUUUUAAUGUUGCUAUUGAUUUGAUUAAUUUUUGAAUCACAGGCUGAAGUGCAAAGGUGGAUCCUUUUGAGCCAGAGAAGGGCGGCAAUGCCCUAAAUAGUGUGCCCAAACAGAAUCGAUCUGGGAUUAGGGUUCAUAAACAUGUGUGGAAGCAGAUGGGAAAUGAAGAAAAGAAGACUGCUGUCAAUGAGGAAAUGAAGAGAUUGAACAGGCUGCCCGCCAACAGCAGUUAUGCUUCUCACCGUUUGCGGGUCUUGAAUAAAAUACUGCAGCUGCUGUCGGUUCAGGUUUGUGUAAAUAUUUUUUUGUGUUUGGCAAAAAUCUUUGUUUUAAGUGCAAUUUUACUGUAGAUUUUGUGAUUAGUGGAAAAAUUAUGCUUGCUGGAUUUAAGGGGGUUAGAUGGAAAUACUUCCUCCAUAUGGAGAUUUUGGGGGUAUUUAAGAAUUAGCUAAUAUCUGAGUUAUGAUUUGUUUCGUCUUACUAAUAUUACAUUGACUCAUGCUUCAUUUUUCAUCUCUCAACUGUUUACUAUUACUGCUAGUCCUGAAAUCUGUAAAAUCUUAGAUAAAUGUGCAAUGUAUUUCAUCUUUCAUAAGAAAAUUUCAUUAUUGGUAUGGUUUAUGUCUUAUGUACGAUGGGCAUAUAAAGUGAUGUUUUUAUUUUUCGACUCCAAAUUACUAAUUUGUUUUUUUGUUCUUGGUUGAUAGAGAAACACAUCACAAGAUGAGGAGUUGGAGUUGCUUUUUGCUGGGCUUCAUAUCUGAUGGCAUUUUGGUGUUUGAAUGCUGGUCAGUUUAGUAAAGUUAUGUAAUAAUUUAAAUUUGUUACUUACUCCAUCUAGGUUUUUGUUCAUAUUGGGUUAUAAAUGGCUUGAAAGUAGUUAGUGCCUUCAUUUAAGGAAGUUUCACGUUGAAUCCUGCGAUGUAGUUAUCUGUCUUGCCCUUUCAAAUUGAUAAAAGUGAAUUCUCACACUUCCAGACAAUUGUUCAUAGCUAUGGCAUGCACU
rnacentral:lncRNA from 1 species